CGGAGGAAAAGAAACUAACAAGGAUUCCCCUAGUAACGGCGAGUGAAGCGGGAAGAGCUCAAAUUUGAAAUCUGGUAGCCUUCGGUUGCCCGAGUUGUAAUCUAGAGAAGUGUUUUCCGUGCCGGCCCAUGUACAAGUCCCUUGGAACAGGGCGUCAUAGAGGGUGAGAAUCCCGUCCUUGACAUGGACCCCCGGUGCUUUGUGAUACACUUUCAACGAGUCGAGUUGUUUGGGAAUGCAGCUCAAAAUGGGUGGUGAAUUCCAUCUAAAGCUAAAUAUUGGCGAGAGACCGAUAGCGAACAAGUACCGUGAGGGAAAGAUGAAAAGCACUUUGGAAAGAGAGUUAAACAGUACGUGAAAUUGUUGAAAGGGAAACGAUUGAAGUCAGUCAUGCUCUUGGGACUUACCUCCCUUGAGUGGGGUCAACAUCAGUUUUGAUCGAUGGAUAAAGGCACGGGGAAGGUAGCACUCUCGGGUGAACUUAUAGCCUCGCGUCAUAUACAUUGAUUGGGACUGAGGAACGCAGCAUGC
rnacentral:rRNA from 1 species